CAACGAUGUCCAACGGUGUCCAACGGUGCAGUCCAGUGUAGAUCAUCCAAAAUUCUUUUCGCGGCAUUUGGAGAUCCACACUGAACCAAUGGUGUCCCACGUUGCAGUCCAGUGUAGAUCAUCCAAAAUUCUUUUCGCGGCUUUUGGAGAUGCACACUGAAACAAAGGUGUCCCACGUUGCAGUCCAGUGUAGAUCAUCCAAAAUUCUUUUCGCGGCUUUUGGAGAUCCACACUGGACCAAUGGAAUCCCACGGUGUCCCACGUUGCAGUCCAGUGUAGAUCAUCCAAAAUUCUUUUCGCGGCUUUUGGAGAUCCACACUGGACCAAUGGAAUCCCACGGUGUCCCACGUUGCAGUCCAGUGUAGAUCAUCCAAAAUUCUUUUCGCGGCUUUUGGAGAUCCACACUGGACCAAUGGAAUCCCACGGUGUCCCACGUUGCAGUCCAGUGUAGAUCAUCCAAAAUUCUUUUCGCGGCUUUUGGAGAUCCACACUGGACCAAUGGAAUCCCACGGUGUCCCACGUUGCAGUCCAGUCUAGAUCAUCCAAAAUUCUUUUCGCGUUUUU
rnacentral:misc_RNA from 1 species